rnacentral:rRNA from 1 species
CCUACGGGUGGCAGCAGUGAGGAAUAUUGGUCAAUGGGCGCGAGCCUGAACCAGCCAAGUCGCGUGAGGGAAGACGGUCCUAUGGAUUGUAAACCUCUUUUGUCGGGGUGCAAAAGACGCCACGCGUGGCGUUCCGAGAGUACCCGAAGAAAAAGCAUCGGCUAACUCCGUUCCAUCAGACGCGGUAAUACGGAGGAUGCGAGCGUUAUCCGGAUUUAUUGGGUUUAAAGGGUGCGCAGGCGGAAGAUCAAGUCAGCGGUAAAAUCGAGAGGCUCAACCUCUUCGAGCCGUUGAAACUGGUGUUCUUGAGUGAGCGAGAAGGAUGCGGAAUGCGUGGUGUAGCGGUGAAAUGCAUAGAUAUCACGAAGAACUCCGAUUGCGAAGGCAGCUUACUAAACUGCCACUGACAUUGAUGCUCGAAAGUGUGGGUAUCAAACAGGAUUAGAUACCCUUGUAGUC